ACCGGACUUCGCUCUAGGGCCCGGGCAUCACACACCGCUGAGCCUACAGAGGCCCCGCGAGCGGGCGCCGCGUGGCGGAGUGAGCUGAAGCUGCAGCCUGGGACCCGAUCGAUCGUGAGGAAAGACGCGGCCACACUGUCCCGAGGAAAUGCGGACCGAGGUUUGCAAGGCAUAUAAUCUGCGAUCCGGCCAAAGAGCAGCCGUCCGACUCCUGAAGUGAUGCCAAUGCACAUGAGAACCACCUCUUUAUUUUUUCCAUCUUGAAAUCUUUCAUUCACAUAUUUCAUCUGUGGACCAUCAAGACAGAAGCAACACUAAAUACGGUACAUAAAUAUCUUAUUUAAAAGUCACACUCUUCAGAGGAGCCAGGCUCAAGCCCUGGCCAUACCAGCUACCAGCCUUGCAUGAUUGCCUAUCUCACAGUGUGGCCCUGAGACUCCAGUGAAAGAUAACGUUUGUGGGAACUUCUUGUAUGUCAAACGUCAAUAAAAAGGUUCUUAUACCUUGUGUGUGUUCCCUUCAAUACACAACAAAGGGUUUAAUGUGAAUUGAAUAUCAUCUACUUGUGUUUGGAAAGAUGUAAGACACCUUUUCCUCCUCUAAGGGGAAGGCUGGAUCCAUGAAGCCUGAAUUAAGCAAGCAUCCACAAUCCAAACCUUAAUUUACAACACGAGCAAGCAACUUGGUGCACCCAUUAAACACGAGACUUCAACAGCCCGCAUGGCAACAGCCCGCAACUGUCUGGUGUUUCGUCUCCAACACAGCUUUUAGUGUUAUAACUGUUCGACAAUGCGAAAAAUCACAAAUGAAAAAUAUCAAUACAUUUUCUAAGAAAACAUGCCUGGAAGGAAGGACAGCAGAAAAAAGACCUGAUUUGUUAUUGGAGUUAACAGAGACCCUAUUGUUUUGUGUACUAUCUGAUUUACAGCCUCCUGAUGACAAUAAUAUCUAGAAUACCAUCUAACUCAUCACUCACUAUGAAAUUUGAUUUACUUUAAGGUUAGAGAGGGAGGGAGCUAAAACAUAAGAGACUCUUAAAAA